UGGAACGUCCAAUGGAAGGUCGAGAGCGACUUUGACCCGAGGAUAUUUUUGCGAGGGAAUGUAAAGAAAAUGGACAGGUGCGAGCUUCGACGGUCUUUUCUCUCCGUAGAAGAAUUUUCUUGGAAGAA
rnacentral:lncRNA from 1 species